rnacentral:rRNA from 1 species
AUACGUAGGGGGCUAGCGUUAUCCGGAAUUACUGGGCGUAAAGGGUGCGUAGGUGGUUUCUUAAGUCAGAAGUGAAAGGCUACGGCUCAACCGUAGUAAGCUUUUGAAACUAAGAGACUUGAGUGCAGGAGAGGAGAGUAGAAUUCCUAGUGUAGCGGUGAAAUGCGUAGAUAUUAGGAGGAAUACCAGUUGCGGAGGCGGCUCUCUGGACUGUAACUGACACUGAGGCACGAAAGCGUGGGGAGCAAACAGGAUUAGAUACCCUGGUAGUCCACGCCGUAAACGAUGAGUACUAGCUGUCGGGGGUUACCCCCCUCGGUGGCGCAGCUAACGCAUUAAGUACUCCGCCUGGGAAGUACGCUCGCAAGAGUGAAACUCAAAUGAAUUGACGGGG